rnacentral:tRNA from 1 species
AAAUAAGAAACAAUAAUUUUGUAUUUAGUUUCGACCUAAAAUUUAGACCUUUAACGGCCCUUAUUUU